rnacentral:lncRNA from 1 species
AGUCAAAAUAAUAAAUAGAUGGAUUAUUCUUUUCAAUUAUGAAAAAUAGUAUGUUACCUUUGGAAUGUGUCUAUUCAGUGAAAAUAUAAAAACUUUAGAUUUGCUUGUAGGGCCAAACGGUUUUUUGCAGAUCUUCUGUCCUAUUCUGAAGUUGUUGAUGCAGUCUUUAAUUUACUUCCCAGUCAGUAGAGUUUAUUCACUUCUUAUCCCUAGCUAAUUAUUCUUGACAACUUAUAGUUUGACUUUAUUUAGGGGCAAGAAUGACUGUCCUUACCUUCCAAAAUCACUGCAAAAAAAAUCCAAUUAUUUAUCUGAGAACUUUACACUUUCCCUUUGUAGCAAGGAUCCCUAUAUCAAAUUUUACUUUAUUGCUGAUUGGUCACCAAAGCUAUGGGUGAGCAGAAAUCCUCAGCUCCCUGGCCUGUUUCCUGGGUCUCUCUUGAAAUCUGUGCAAAUUACUCAUGUUUGUUCGACAAAGAGUUUGACUUUUAUAUAUUGGUGAGUGGCUGAAAGCCCUGGCAUGCCUUCUCUAAUGUAUGGGUGUUGAAUGUGAAAUUGUGGAUUCAGAACAAAACCCAUUGUUGAAUAUGUUCUAGUUUUAGAAACAUCAACAAAAAUACCCAAAAGAAACAAAACUAAACAAACAAACAAAAAAACACUGGAGUCAGCAUUUGCACACUAUUCUCACUUGACAAUGUGCUGAAGGGAGAUACUGCAAAAGGCUGGCUCACUAUUGUUAGGAGAGUCACCAGAAUUACCACAGAAGUUGAAACUGUCUUCAUGGAAUGUAGGAGUGUCCCUGUCCUGGAGCUGGCCUUGAAGGUGACACAUACCUUGGACUCUUCCAGCAUUUCACCUGCAAGUGUCAACCUCCCUUUCUCAGAAGUAACCUUUUGUUCUGGUUGCAUUAUAGAUGGUUGUGUUGGUGAACUCUAUAGAUGUCCUGUGAGCCUCAGAGUCCCUCUCCCCUCUAGCUCAUGACUAAAACAUUUAGGUUGCUACCUAAAUGUGCAUUGGUAUAUAAACUUCCAUUUUAAAUUCAUAUGAGAAUAUCAAAGAUGAAAGAAGGUGAGGGAGUUGUCCAAGACAGCACAGACCCAGUGGGAUAUGGCAAUUUUUCUCCUUGUUGGGACAGGCUCAGAAACACGUGCUCCCCACUAUUCCAUGUGGUCCUCUGUUAAGUAUAGGAAACAAGAGUCUCUCUUUCCACUCCCCUUUCCAGGCUAGAAUCUUCCCGCUCUUCCUCAGACAUACCUACCACUCUGAUCUAAAUUCUUCAGUGUGAGAAUCAUGCAGGGGUUUUCCAGCAAUGUAGGUGUGCCUGAUCAUUUUGUAGCCACUUUACUCUCAAACCUUAUGUCUCUCCCUGGAAGUACUCUGUUCUUCACAAGUGGGUUCCCUCAAUUCCUUCCAUUUCACUGCUCCAGUGUUCUCUUUCAUACCAUGACCACAAUGUGUAAAUAUUUUGGUUUCUUGAUUGAUUUAUUGUCUGUUGACUUUAUUCCUCCACCAUCAAAGUAUGUUC